rnacentral:rRNA from 1 species
UACGGGGGGGGCAAGCGUUGUUCGGAAUUACUGGGCGUAAAGGGCGCGUAGGCGGCCUGUUAAGUCGAACGUGAAAUCCCUGGGCUCAACCCAGGAACUGCGUCCGAUACUGGCAGGCUUGAAUUCGGGAGAGGGAUGCGGAAUUCCAGGUGUAGCGGUGAAAUGCGUAGAUAUCUGGAGGAACACCGGUGGCGAAGGCGGCAUCCUGGACCGAGAUUGACGCUGAGGCGCGAAAGCCAGGGGAGCAAACGGG